AGAAAGAGAAAUAGAGUACAAAUAUCAUAGAUAACAUGAGUAACGAGUACAUCUCAGCGGCACAUGCCGAUACAAGUCCAUCAGGGUUGAAUCAAGAAAGGUAAAACAUCUACGCAGCGGAAACAUAAGCUAUGGCGAACUCCAUCUCCAGAGGCGACUCGAGCGAAGAAUGGUCCCUUGUCUUCCCAGUCGUCGUUGUCGGGCUCCGACCCUAAAAAACCACCAUCUACCCGAGAGGUGGGUAGUUCAUGUCAACUCCCAAAAGCAGCAAGCCAAGAAAAUGGGGAAAUUAUACUAUAUGCAUGAGUAAAACCUAUAUAUAACUGUAGGGGUUUAUGCAGCAGCAGCAGCAGCAAUCAAGGAAGCAGCAAAGCAACAUCAUCUCCGAUGUCAACACCUCAAACAAGCAAGUCAACACAAAUCACCGGAUCCAUCACCCAAGGAUCCAACACCCAUACACACUAGGUGAUGUGAGAGCUCCCUCUCUUCACAUCUCAACAGCAAAUGCCGGCCUAUCUCAAAAAGGGGAAGGUAGAAGCAUAAGAGAAGUCUAGUCAAAAGUAGCAGUAGUCAACAACACUGUCCAUAACCAGUGGACACGGACUAUAGCUAUAGCUUUAUACACUCUGCAGAGGUUGUACAACUGUAGCCGCACGGAUGGAGCCUGAAAAGUAGCGAUCCAUCCAAACCCCACCUAACAGCUAGAGCCCUAGUAAGUGGAUAGCUCUCUCCUAUUUCUUCGAGUUUGGAACCGUCCUCAGCUGUAGGGCACGCCAUCACCAGUGAGGAUCUCGAAGCUGUGAAACCUACCCAUGCUGGGGUGCAGUCUGGUCAGAGUAGGCCAACGUCUCGGACUUCUUACACGAUCCUCCAAUCCGCUUACAGACAGAGCACUAUCCACUACUAGUCUCGGACCAAACCCCGCCCAUAACAUAAGCGAGUGGUAAGUACGAAAAGUAGCUGCCGUGACUGGUGGUAAACUGACUCGGUCCUUAAGCAGCUGAGAGGGAGCACUCUACCAACAAGUAUAUGCUAAGGCACCUGCAACGUACAAGUACGCCACCUGCUCCUCAGUAGCAAACAAGAUACUCGCCACAGGUAUGGGGUAUGGAGAGAGUCCAGAAAGCUCUCUCCCGGCAAGGCACUCCUCAGUACCAACCAUGGCUUGCUCCCACCAAGAACACAUCAAAGAGUCACACUCACCCAAAACAUGCGCGAGUGUUCAAGGAAUUCCAUCACCGAAUCCAUGGCAAAUGCACAUCCAUAACUCAAAAGCAUGUAUAUGGAUAAAUGAGCAGUGGACUAGCUAGGGGUCUGUAGCUAGUCCACAAAAGUAGGUAAACAAGGAAAAUAGGAUAAACAAUUAUCAAGGCAUAGCUAAAAACAUUGGCUAUGCAAUGCAUCAUCAUCAAGCAAUAUAAGUAAAGCGCUAGCAACUAAGCAUGAUCUAUAUGAUUGGGAGUGACAUGAUACCUUGUCCAUAGUCGAGUGGGUUCUCCUCGGCGUAGUCGGGGUCUUAAAGGUCUUUCUAGUCGUAGCUCGGUUCUGAACAGAACAAGAUACAACGAAGCGUAAAUUUAAUAGCAUUACAUCUAGGCAAAAACUUCUUAAAAGCCAAAUUUAGAAGAUCCAAAUAAUACCAAACUAGCUACAAACAGCACGGGCUCGAUUUUACGAAUUUAAUGCAACUGGUUUCAUAUUUUUUGAAGUUAAAAUGAAUUAGUUAUGAAUUUUUAAAGAUUAAAGGAUUUAUUUAAUUAUUUAACAAUUUCAGAUAAUAUUAUUAAAGGGGACACGUGUGAGCGGGGAAUUAAUCCACAUGGCAGCCCGUGGGGUGCCACGAGUCUCGCUGACGUCAUGUUGAUGUCAGCGUUGACCCAGUCAACUCAACGUGGGCCCCACCCGACAAUGGGCACCAUGGGUUAGCUUGUUAGUGGGCCCAGCUUGCCACGUGGGCCACGGCAGCGGCGCGGCUGAUGGCGCGCGGUGACCGCGCCCACGGUGUCGCGGCGCGAAGCGACAUCGCGCGCAGUGGCGAGCGGGCGAGCGAGCGUGCACGGCGCGGACACGAGGCGGCCCGGCCGGCACUCGGCCCCCGGCCUGGCGCCCGUAGGCGCGUGGCGCGGGCAGGCUCGAGCUCGCGCGCGUGCGCGCGCGGUCCCGGGGCUUCCCCAGCCAUGGCACGGCGCAACGACGCGCGGCGGCUUGACUAGUCCGAGCCCCCGAGGGCCGGCAAAGCAAACGGCGGUGGCGGCUACUCCUACGGCGUCUAUGGUUAGAGAACAAGGGGGCGAGGAAAGGCGAGCUCACAGCGAGGCUUGGCGCAGGGGAACGGCUUCGGUGGCGAGCGGUGGAUGGUGGCCUCGGACGGCUUCGGGCAGCGCUCAGGUGGCGGCGGCUUCGGGCUCCCGAGCGUCAUCUCCUCCUCGCUCCCUCCUCCUCUUCUCCUCCUCCGCUUCCUUUCUCUCUCCUCCUUCCUCUUUCCUUUCUGGCGUUCCACGCAAUGCUGGCUGGGAAGCCUCUUUUGCAUAUGCUGAGCCUGGCCCACGACUCCGUCGUGGCUACCAAUCAUGACCCACUGCACCAUCUGGCCUAGCCGAAGGGUGGUCCAGCCUACCAAAUGCCUGCUUCG
rnacentral:lncRNA from 1 species